CCUACGGGAGGCAGCAGUGAGGAAUAUUGGUCAAUGGACGCAAGUCUGAACCAGCCAUGCCGCGUGCAGGAAGACGGCUCUAUGAGUUGUAAACUGCUUUUGUACGAGGGUAAACGCAGAUACGUGUAUCUGUCUGACAGUAUCGUACGAAUAAGGAUCGGCUAACUACGUGUCAGCAGCCGCGGUAAUCCGGAGGAUUCAAGCGUUAUCCGGAUUUAGUGGGUUUAAAGGGUGCGUAGGCGGUCGGAUAAGUUAGAGGUGAAAUCCCGAGGCUCAACUUCGGAAUUGCCUCUGAUACUGUUCGGCUAGAGAGUAGUUGCGGUAGGCGGAAUGUAUGGUGUAGCGGUGAAAUGCUGAGAGAGCAUACAGAACACCGAUUGCGAAGGCAGCUUACCAAGCUACUUCUGACGUUGAGGCACGAAAGCGUGGGGAGCAAACAGGAUUAGAUACCCCAGUAGUC
rnacentral:rRNA from 1 species